AUAUAAUGCCGAACAGGGUGAGGCGACGAUGAGCCUGUCAAUGGGCGCGUGCCCCCACGCGUGGCAGCAGCACCACCUACACCACCGCGGGCGCAUGUGGGCCGCCUCCCCGGCCUUCCGCAGGCAGCUCUUCCUGCUCCGCUCUCUCGCGCCCACCUGCGCAGACGGCGGUCGCGCCUCCUCGAGCUCUCUUCGGCCCCACUUGAUGUAUGCGGCGGCCGGGCCGGUGUACGAGGCGGACGCGGAGGCGGUGGUCCGGCGAAUCACGCCGCCGCUCGACCGCGCAAGGCACAAGGGUCAGGCAGGGAAGAUAGCAAUAAUUGGUGGAUGUCGCGAGUACACUGGUGCUCCUUAUUUUGCCGCUAUCUCUGCGUUGAGAGUUGGCGCAGACCUCUCACAUGUUUUCUGCACAAAAGAUGCUGCAACAGUAAUCAAGAGCUAUAGCCCGGAGUUGAUUGUGCAUCCAAUAUUAGAGGAGUCCUACAGCGUAAGGGAUGAUGAAAGAGAAUCUGUUUCUUCUAGCAUUCUCGCUGAAGUUAUAAAGUGGAUGGAGCGCUUUGAUUGCAUUGUUGUUGGCCCCGGCCUUGGAAGGGACUCAUUUCUUAUGGAUUGUGUCGGUAAUAUCAUGAGGCAUGCACGACAGGCUAAUAUCCCAACUGUUGUUGAUGGGGAUGGCCUUUUCCUUAUAACCAAUAACAUUGGUCUUGUUGAAGAUAACUCUCUUGCCAUCUUAACGCCAAAUGUAUACGAGUACAAGCGUCUUGUCCAGAAGGUUCUUAACUGUGAAGUAAAUGAGGAAAAUGCUUCUGAGCAACUGACUGCACUUUGCCAAAAAAUUGGUGGUGUAACUAUCAUGAGGAAAGGAAAAGCAGAUCUAAUUAGUGAUGGUAAAAAAGUCACACAAGUGAGUACCUUUGGUUCUCCAAGGCGAUGUGGUGGUCAAGGCGACAUUCUCUCUGGAAGCAAUAUCAGUGUUCUAAUGGCAAGGAUACAUUUUUUUAGCAUAUAUUUUUAGCGUGGCAGUAUUUUCAUCAUGGGCACGGCACUUUCUCUUGUCAAAUGAGCAACCUAAAGAGACCAGUGUGAAUCCUAUGGUUCUUGGGUGCAUAGCUGGCUCUCUAUUGCUCAGAAAAGCUGCAGCGCUUGCAUUUGAGAAGAACAAGAGAUCAACCGUCACUACUGACAUCAUUGAGUUCUUGGGCCAAAGCUUGGAAGAUAUCUGCCCUGCUGGGCGGUAGUUUCUUGUGGGUUUCUUACCAUAAUACUGGAACUGCGCCUCGGCAUUCUACAAUAAUAGUGAUCCUGUUAUCAGGAUGUAUCGUCACCGUGUUUAUGUACAUAUUUCUCUAGUAAGAAGAGGAUGCUACAAUGCUUGGAUGCUAUGAUCUGUUAUGUAUCACCCACCGCUGUCUAGAAAUCCUCAGUGAAUUGAAGUUUAGUAGAAGCGGUCGCGGCAGACGUGCCACUUUUCGGUUC